GGGGUCGUAGUCGAAGUUGCUGUAGGCGUCGGGCUCGGUCAGCCAAGACAAGCGCGUCCCCGGCAGCGUCUUCAGGGUGCUCCGGUUCCUCACCAGUUGAACCUGGCUGCAGGGACCUGGACCAUCAGUGAGGUCCAGUCCUGAUGUUGGGUGAUGAGGUCUGGCCCACAGCCGCUGUUCCAGUUCAUCCCAAAGUUGUAAAUUCCUCUGGAGAUGGGGAGUGAGAGUCAACUCUCGGGCAGCAAACUCAGAGUCUGGAUUGUUUGCUUCCUCUCCCAUCCUCUUCAUCAUCAUUAUCCUCCCUGGCCCUCUUCUUGGAUCUUGGAGGCACAAGGCUGUGUGCGGGCGAGGCGCUGGGUCUUCUUCCUCAGCAUUGGUGUCACUGUCAGAGACAGCGUCAUUCAGUUUUUCCAAGCCCCUGAAUCGCCUCCUGCUCAUCUUGUCACCUUCGUCUUCCUCUUUUGAUCUUCUCCUGGAGCCUCCGGGUCUGGGCUAGAGUAGGGCGCAGACACUGGGUCUUCUUCUGCGAUGUCAGACAAUUUAUUCCUGAAUCGCUUCCUGCUCAUCUCCUCGCCUUCCUCAUCUUCCUCUCCGGAUCCUCCAGUCAGAUACAUUUUGACCCAGCUACGCACAGGACUGUUUUGUUAUGUUGAGCACAGUGCAGCAGACGUGCUGUGUUGGCGCUGUCCAUGGUGCUGGAAGUGGUUGAUGACAAAAAGGCCCAGCAGAGACUCCCGGAAGCUUUCCUCAUCAGUCCUGCACUGAGGGAAGGGGAGGCAGUCUCGUCCGCUUUCAGCCCCGUGGCCACUCGUCUCCCCCGGAAAGACACAAGGAAUGUGCACAACUUCUCAGCUUCCAGUGCAGGAAAGCUGAAUGUACCCUUUUAGGAACUGUACGUAUAAAUGAAUGACUUAAUUUUUGCAGUAAUUCCAAGAAUUAAAAAAAAAUCCAUUCAUAAAUGAUUAUUCGUCUUUAUCAUAAAGAGGUGUGUAUGAAGCUGUGAUCAUUGCUGUGCACUGAUCUGCUCUGGAGGCCUGCUAUUGGCUUAUUCAGUGCUUGAGAGAGGGUACUGUGGGUAGACAUACUGUAGUUGUCUAUUGUAUUGUCUUCUAACUUGAAAAUAAACACAAGAAAUAUUGAUCCAA